CGUGUCCCUUCUGCCCUGAGGACUCUUCGUAUGGACACAGCGCUCCAGCUCGGUGUCGUCAGCAAAUUCUCUGAGGGUGCGCCCGACCCGCCGGUGCUGUCACUGAUGCAGAUAUUGAAGAGUCCCAGCCCCAGCUCGGUGCUCUUUCCCAGCACAGAGGGACUUCACCUGAUUGCCAUGACUUCUCAAAUACCGCUGGGAGUGGCUUGGCGAUGACAUCACCAAACUCCCUUACGAC